rnacentral:rRNA from 2 species
UACAGAGGGUGCGAGCGUUGUCCGGAAUCACUGGGCGUAAAGGGCGCGUAGGCGGCCUGAUAAGUCGGGGGUGAAAUCCUGUGGCUUAACCACAGGGCUGCCUCCGAGACUGUCGGGCUCGAGCACAGUAGAGGCAGGUGGAAUUCCCGGUGUAGCGGUGGAAUGCGUAGAGAUCGGGAAGAACAUCGGUGGCGAAGGCGGCCUGCUGGGCUGUUGCUGACGCUGAGGCGCGACAGCGUGGGGAGCAAACAGG